CCUACGGGUGGCAGCAGUGAGGAAUAUUGGUCAAUGGGCGCGAGCCUGAACCAGCGAAGUAGCGUGAGGGAUGACUGCCCUACGGGCUGUAAACUUCUUUUAUAAGGGAGUAAAGUGUGGGACGUGUCCUAUUUUGUAUGUACCUUAUGAAUAAGGAUCGGCUAACUCCGUGCCAGCAGCCGCGGUAAUACGGAGGAGCCGAGCGUUAUCCGGAUUUAUUGGGUUUAAGGGGUGCGUAGGCGGCCUUUUAAGUCAGGGGUGAAAGUCUGUGGCUCAACCAUAGAAUUGCCGUUGAAACUGGGGGGCUGGAGUAUGUGUGAGGCAGGCGGAAUGCGUGGUGUAGCGGUGAAAUGCUUAGAUAUCAGGCAGAACCCCGAUUGCGAAGGCAGCCUGCCAAGCCAUGACUGACGCUGAUGCACGAAAGCGUGGGGAUCAAACAGGAUUAGAUACCCCUGUAGUC
rnacentral:rRNA from 1 species